AGAGUUUGAUCCUGGCUCAGGACGAACGCUGGCGGCGUGCCUAAUACAUGCAAGUUGAACGAUGAUUUCUGGUACUUGUAUCAGAAUGAAGAGUAGCGAACGGGUGAGUAGACGCGUGGGUAACCUACCUCUUAGCGGGGGACAACUAUUGGACAACGAUAGCUAAUACCGCAUAACAAUAUUAAACACAUGUUUAAUAUUUGAAAGUACCAAUUGGUACACUAGGAGAUGGACCCGCGUUGUAUUAGCUAGUUGGUAGUGUAAUGGACUACCAAGGCGAUGAUACAUAGCCGACCUGAGAGGGUGAUCGGCCACAUUGGGACUGAGACACGGCCCAAACUCCUACGGGAGGCAGCAGUAGGGAAUCUUCGGCAAUGGACGAAAGUCUGACCGAGCAACGCCGCGUGAGUGAAGAAGGUUUUCGGAUCGUAAAACUCUGUUGUUAGAGAAGAACGUUGUGUAGAGUGGAAAAUUACACAAGUGACGGUAUCUAACCAGAAAGGGACGGCUAACUACGUGCCAGCAGCCGCGGUAAUACGUAGGUCCCGAACGUUGUCCGGAUUUAUUGGGCGUAAAGCGAGCGCAGGUGGUUUAAUAAGUCUGAUGUAAAAGGCAGUGGCUCAACCAUUGUGUGCAUUGGAAACUGUUAGACUUGAGUGCAGUAGAGGAGAGUGGAAUUCCAUGUGUAGCGGUGAAAUGCGUAGAUAUAUGGAGGAACACCGGUGGCGAAAGCGGCUCUCUGGACUGUAACUGACACUGAGGCUCGAAAGCGUGGGUAGCAAACAGGAUUAGAUACCCUGGUAGUCCACGCCGUAAACGAUGAGUGCUAGUUGUUUGGGGCUAUCCAGCCCUAAGUGCACGCAGCA
rnacentral:rRNA from 1 species